rnacentral:rRNA from 1 species
GACGAACCGUGCGAACGUUAUUCGGAAUCAUUGGGCUUAAAGCGCGUGUAGGCGGGUCCGUGCGUCUUUCGCUGAAAUCCCCCGGCUCAACCGGGGAACGGGCGGGGAUACGACGGGCCUGGAGGGGCAUAGGGGGACCUGGAACUUCCGGUGGAGCGGUGAAAUGCGUUGAGAUCGGAAGGAACGCCCGUGGCGAAAGCGAGGUCCUGGAUGCCUGCUGACGCUGAGACGCGAAAGCCAGGGGAGCGAACGGG